UGAGGAAUAUUGGUCAAUGGGCGAGAGCCUGAACCAGCCAAGCUGCGUGAAGGAAGACGGCCCGCAAGGGAUGUAAACUUCUUUUGUAUGGGAUUAAAGUUACCUACGCGUAGGUGUUUGCCGUUACCAUACGAAUAAGCAUCGCCUAACUCCGUGCCAGCAGCCGCGGUAAUACGGAGGAUGCGAGCGUUAUCCGGAAUUAUUGGGUUUAAAGGGUGCGUAGGAUGCAAGAGAAGUCAUAGGUGAAAAGCUAUAGCUCAACUAUGGUCUUGCCGUUGAAACUCUCGAGCUAGAGUGUACUGGAGGUACGUGGAACGUGUGGUGUAGCGGUGAAAUGCGUAGAUAUCACAAAGAACUCCGAUUGCGCAGGCAGCGUACUACAUUGCAACUGACACUGAAGCACGAAAGCGUGGGUAUCAAACAGG
rnacentral:rRNA from 1 species